GCACCGGUGGUGCAUGGUGCAUUCCUCAUUCAAUUUCAAGGAUUUCAUAUUAACCAUUAUUGAGGUGGUACGGGGUUCGAUUCCCCGCCGGUGCA